AUCCAAGAACGUUACCGAGGUUUAAUACUGGUAGCAAACUUUGGACUCCUUCAUUUGGUUUUCUAAAGCUAUCGUGGUAAAUCGCGAGUGUAAAAGUUCAAUUUAGUAACUUGGUGAAAGUUUUUUUUUAAAGUGAAUUGACGUUUUUUUUUUUAUCCACAUUGGUUUUUAUUUUUUUUGUGUUGCUUACGAACAAGACACUUGUGCCUCCUCUUAAAAAUUCCUACCAUUUUUGGACCAUUGGGUCCCAUAGAAGAGCUUUGGAGGCUUUCCUCAGGGCUGCCUAAGCCCACAGGAUUUUUUGCCUUUUUCUUGCCACCUUUAUGAGGUUUCUACAUAUUGUAUAUUCACGGCACUGUCGAGCACCGCAGAAAAGAAAACCACCGAUUGAAACCUGUCCUCGGCUCAGUUCCCUUUUUCUUGCUUCUCAGCAAAAUUUUAUUGUGGUUUGCUUACACUGGAAACACUGGAGAAUUCAGUCUUCUAUUGUCGCUGCAUCCUACAUAUCGUCUCUAAACACAGGGGUUCGUUGCCCGACGAAGAAAUUAGACCGGAUAAUAUGUGAGAUUCGAUGAAAGUGUGUAGUUUUAUGGCCUGGAAGCCCGAGAAUCAAUGAAAAGUGGUAUAGUUUCGACAUAGAAAGCCUGCCAAUUAACCCCCUGUCCGUAAUCGAACAACAGAAAAACGUACGAUUGUUUCGUGAUAAUUACUGUGAACAAAACUUAACAUCUAAUAACUGCCUGGAAUUAUUUUUCUGCCCAUCCAACACAUAGUAUUAUAUAUUUCUUUUUAAAUUUUUAUAUUACUUUUCAUUUUGUGAGACAAAAUUAUAAAAUAGUUUUUCUUUAGUAUGUGCUAAUUUUGCUCGGAGUUGGUGUGAUUUUUCUAAUAGGUUUUAAAACGGGAAAAAAGUGAACAAGAAAUAUUGCAAAAUUUGCAAAAAAAAAAAAAAGAAAGGGAAAAAAUCUGAAAACAUAGAAUUUAAAUAAUUAGAGUUGUGAGAGAAAAAUUUUGUUGGCAAUUCUUGUCCUUUUUUUUUUUUUUUUCUCCUAUUUUUUUUAUUUCAUAAGGUUUUUUUUUUCAUUAGUUUUUGCCGAAAUUUUGUUCAUUUCAUUCCCUUCCAUAAAGUGUUAUUUUACCUGCAAUUUAUUGUUGCGCAAAAUUCUAAAAGCAUAGCAAAGAUUUGCGAAAACAUUUUUUUUUUGGCAUGAUUACAGUGAUCCCGUUUGUUUGUUGCCAAAGAGCACAGGUUGAUACACAAUCAACAUUACAUUUGUAUAGCUAUACUUUUUGUCAAGACUGUUAUUUACAGACCAUGUUGACUAAAGUUCAUAAUGUUGCAGAAACAAUGUGUUCUUGUGCUUUGCGUUUAUAAGUAUGCGUGGUGUUUAUAAACAUCGUUGGAAACAAACCAUGUUGCGAUAUAUUUCUCUCGCAACAUGUCGCUAUGAGUACUGAUCAUUUUAAACCAUUACAACGCAACAAUUUCUCUCGCAACACAAUGUUUAAUUACAUGCAAGAUCUUCGAUCAACAUAAAACAAAAAGAGCGGACAAACACGAAAGCAACAUUUCUCUCUCGCAACUUUAGGCAUUCAAUCACCUUUUGUACACAGCACCAUUUCAGCCAUCCCAGCAACAUUUCUCAAGCUGUCGUCAACAUUGAUACUCUCCUAGAUCCAGUUCUGAGAAAGGCCUUUCAACGAUGGACCCGAUUAUAAAGAAGAGAACAAAGUAAGUCAUUGAUCUUUUCUAUGUUGCUUUGAUAUCAUUAUUUUUUUUUUUUUUGGGAUAAAAACAAAUGCUGCUGAUCUAGUAAAAGGGUGAUCAAUUUUGCAUUACAUUUAUUUUUUUUUUUUUUUUUA